CUUUGAACCCCAUUCCCCCAACAUGAUGCCAUGUGUGGCAGACAUGAUGCUUGGCUUUGCUCUCUCAGGGUUCCAUCUGCGACAGGGGCUACUUGUGCCUGUGGCCUCAUCAUCUCAGGCUGAAGACGGCCCUGGUCCUCACCAGAGGGACUUUGUGAAGCAGAAAUAGAUGGCCUGGUGCAGGGGCCGAGCCUGGCCAGGACCUCGGCCCUGGGAGUUGUAAAGAAGGCCGGCCUCUACCAUGAGCAUCUUCACCAAGCUGUGCCCAUGUCACAGUGUGCUCGGUGUCUGCCCUUGUACAGGCCAGCUGCGGGCCGUCCAGUGGCUGUGCUACUUCUACAGCGUUGUCAUGCCCAGCGAGGCCCAGUGUGUCCUCUACCACGAGUUCCAGCUUCCUCUGGCCCACAAGGGCCUACAGAUCCACUCUGGACUACACCAAACAAAGUCUAGGGAUUCUCAUUGA
rnacentral:lncRNA from 1 species